rnacentral:rRNA from 1 species
AAGUUUGAUCGUGGCUCAGAUUGAACGCUGGCGGCAGGCCUAACACAUGCAAGUCGAGCGGAUGACGGGAGCUUGCUCCUUGAUUCAGCGGCGGACGGGUGAGUAAUGCCUAGGAAUCUGCCUGGUAGUGGGGGACAACGUUUCGAAAGGAACGCUAAUACCGCAUACGUCCUACGGGAGAAAGCAGGGGACCUUCGGGCUUUGCGCUAUCAGAUGAGCCUAGGUCGGAUUAGCUAGUUGGUGGGGUAAUGGCUCACCAAGGCGACGAUCCGUAACUGGUCUGAGAGGAUGAUCAGUCACACUGGAACUGAGACACGGUCCAGACUCCUACGGGAGGCAGCAGUGGGGAAUAUUGGACAAUGGGCGAAAGCCUGAUCCAGCCAUGCCGCGUGUGUGAAGAAGGUCUUCGGAUUGUAAAGCACUUUAAGUUGGGAGGAAGGGCAGUAAGUUAAUACCUUGCUGUUUUGACGUUACCGACAGAAUAAGCACCGGCUAACUCUGUGCCAGCCG